rnacentral:rRNA from 1 species
GACGAACGCUGGCGGCGUGCUUAACACAUGCAAGUCGAACGGUAAGGCCCUUCGGGGUACACGAGUGGCGAACGGGUGAGUAACACGUGGGUGAUCUGCCCUGCACUUCGGGAUAAGCCUGGGAAACUGGGUCUAAUACCGGAUAGGACCACUGCCUGCAUGGGUGGUGGUGGAAAGCUUUUGCGGUGUGGGAUGGGCCCGCGGCCUAUCAGCUUGUUGGUGGGGUGAUGGCCUACCAAGGCGACGACGGGUAGCCGGCCUGAGAGGGUGACCGGCCACACUGGGACUGAGACACGGCCCAGACUCCUACGGGAGGCAGCAGUGGGGAAUAUUGCACAAUGGGCGCAAGCCUGAUGCAGCAACGCCGCGUGAAGGAUGACGGCCUUCGGGUUGUAAACCUCUUUUAGUAGGGAAGAAGCGAAAGUGACGGUACCUGCAGAAGAAGCACCGGCUAACUACGUGCCAGCCGCCGCGGUAA